CUUGCUGGAGUUACUGCGUUUGGGCCAUCUCAAACAAAUGCUUAUUUGGUUCAUGUUUAAUAGUGAGCUCACUUUCAACUUGAGUACAUGAGGCUGAAUGUAGAAGUGUUGACUACUGCUGUUUUUUGUGUUUUGGAGUGCUGGAGUAUUACAUGCAAUUGUUCCUCUCAAGAGAGGUGUAAGCAACAACACAGCUUCCAGGCAGGAAAGGAAGUGUUUGGAUACAGAGAUGGUCACCUUCUUUUGGAAGCUCACAAAGGAUAAAAAGCGUGUAGGGACAUCCAUCUCAGAUCAAAGCCUGUACACUGGUCCAGAGAAAGAGAUUAUCCGACUCCCACCACUUGCAUAUUGAGAAUAAACCUUGUUAAACA